rnacentral:rRNA from 1 species
AACCUUUACACUGCCCUUUAGUGCGAUAGGGGGACACCGAGUGCGAGGGCAUAGAGCCCUCGCUUUUCUGAACCUUAAGGUGGUUCAGGAACAAGGGCUGGGCAAGACCGGUGCCAGCCGCCGCGGUAACACCGGCAGCCCAAGUGAUGGCCGAUUUUAUUGGGCCUAAAGCGUCCGUAGCUGGCCGCGCAAGUUCGUCGGGAAAUCCACGCGCUUAACGUGUGGGCGCCCGGCGAAAACUGUGCGGCUUGGGACCGGAAGAUCUGAGGGGUACGUCUGGGGUAGGAGUGAAAUCCCGUAAUCCUGGACGGACCACCGAUGGCGAAAGCUUCUCAGAAGGACGGAUCCGACAGUGAGGGACGAAAGCUAGGGUCUCGAACCGGAUUAGAUACCCGGGUAGUCCUAGCCGUAAACGAUGCUCGCUAGGUGUGGCACAGGCUACGAGCCUGUGCUGUGCCGUAGGGAAGCCGUGAAGCGAGCCGCCUGGGAAGUACGUCUGCAAGGAUGAAACUUAA